rnacentral:lncRNA from 1 species
GGGAAAAUACUGCUACACUCAGAGCCUAUUAUUGAGCCAACAGGGAGCUACCCUAAUGGAAAUUACUGCCCUCUGGGUACUGCGUAUCCUUACACGUCCCAAUGCCAGUCUGACUUCUACAGGAACAUGGGGAUGAGGGGGGAUGUGUGUACCAUGUCCAGCCAGGUACGACUGUGCCAGUCCAGGAACAUCCACACCCACUGUCUGCCCACAGACCCCAACUGAUGGACCAAUUGGAGGCUUGUGUCCAGCAGGAAGUUACUGCCCCUCUGGCUCUCCCUAUGUCUCCCCCUGCCACGAAGGCAAUUUUAGCAACAGCACUGGCCUCCGCACCUCCCAGCAGUGUGUUGACUGCCCAGCUGGGUCCUAUUGUUUAGGUUAAAAUAAUACCUCUCCAACUGGCCUGUGCUCUGCUGGUUUCUACUGUACGGGUGGCUCUGUAUCGCCUGCUCAGAAUGAGGCUGAGGAGGGUCAGUAUACCCUGAGCCAUGUCCCAUUGGCACUUUCCAACCGGUACAGUACAUGUAGUGCACGAUGUAGGGGAGGGAUCAUCAACUAGCC